GACGUAGGGGGCCAGCGUUGUUCGGAAUUACUGGGUGUAAAGGGUUCGUAGGCGGUGUGGCAAGUUGGGAGUGAAAUCUCUGGGCUCAACCCAGAGGCUGCUUCCAAAACUGCUGUGCUUGAGUGCGAGAGAGGCUCGUGGAAUUGCAGGUGUAGCGGUGAAAUGCGUAGAUAUCUGCAGGAACACCCGUGGCGAAAGCGGCGAGCUGGAUCACAACUGACGCUGAGGAACGAAAGCUAGGGGAGCAAACAG
rnacentral:rRNA from 1 species